rnacentral:rRNA from 1 species
CAGCAGUCGCCGCGGGAAAACGUAGGUGGCAAGCGUUAUCCGGAAUUAUUGGGCGUAAAGCGCGCGUAGGCGGUUUUUUAAGUCUGAUGUGAAAGCCCACGGCUCAACCGUGGAGGGUCAUUGGAAACUGGAAAACUUGAGUGCAGAAGAGGAAAGUGGAAUUCCAUGUGUAGCGGUGAAAUGCGCAGAGAUAUGGAGGAACACCAGUGGCGAAGGCGGCUUUCUGGUCUGUAACUGACGCUGAUGUGCGAAAGCGUGGGGAUCAAACAGGAUUAGAUACCCCCGUAGUCCCUGUCUCUUAUAC